ACGACGACAAAGCAGAUCAGGUCGGGGUUUGAGAAGUGAACAAUUAUUCCUUAGUUCUAAGGUUGUGCCUUUAGAUUUCUAGAAAACUAUGUUCGAGUCAAUGUCUUAUGUAAUUUAACGAGUUAUUACACAAACCUCGUGAAAUUUACAAACGGACACGUUCUCAUUUUCGUCAAUUUUGUUUUUAUUUCGAAGCAUUGAGUUUGAUUUGACGGCUUGCACAUGCGCAGUUCGGCGCAAGACGACCGUUAGCCUCGAAUACGUGUUUCUGAGCGUUUAGAUAGCCAACGUCGCCAUGACAUUUCCUCCAAUGACCGGGGAUCUUCAUACUGUACUGUCUUUGAGGUGUGUCAGGAGAGGAGCUGGGGGAGGAUUGGGAGUAGAGACGGGACCUGUGAGGACGUCGGUUUUUUCCUACCUCUGAGAAAGCAUCUGUGACUGGGCACCUUGUCUCUCUGUUAACCUAGGCAGGCUUUAGGCAGAGAGAAGUGUCCUGUUACUCUUACGGGUAGAUGAUUGUCCAAGACAGGAGUAGCCUUUGUUGUUUUGCUUUCCAUUUCUGGCCAUGGCCUUUAGGUCAAUGACUUUUAGGUUUAUUAGUUUUGUUAAGCUGGUGUUUCAGCAUUGGCUGUUUCCUGUACUGGAGUUAUUUGUCGGGUGAAAGAAGACCCGUUUAGUAAACGAUACAAAAGAAAAGGAACCACAACCACUGCCUCUGGUCUGUUCAUGUUAGGGUGCUUUGGACAAGCUGAUCCAUUCACACAAUGGUCAUAAAAUGCACAGCACAAACAGAAGAAAUCUGAGAAAGUUGCUAUUAUUGUAAGUGCAGUGCCACAUUUUUUGGGACUCAAUGAUUUUUACAGCUGAGGCCUUGCAAGGAAUCCUGUCGAAGAAUGUUCUGUCCUCACAGGUACCUGUGCCUGGAGGGAUGUGAUUUGAAUUGGACUGCGGAUAAAGGAGCGGAAAGAGCAUGGAGAUGUGGAAAUGGACAGAGUGGAAGUAGGAAAGGAGCUGAGUGUAGAGGGAAGUGAUGUGGUGAGGAAGAUUUGUUUUUUUGAUUUUUGUACUUGAAACCAUACUCCGGUAGUUCAGAAAUUUAACCUGACAAGUGUGAAGAUAAAUUACCUGCGGUGGCAGGUGCAGUGAAGGUUGCCGUGUUUGGGCCUCAUCCCAAUGAUGACAAGGAUGAUUCUAACCCAGUGGGAGUGAUAUUUUUUUGGAGAGAAUAGAUCCUUGCCUUCUGGCUGAUCCAUAUAUGGUGUCUGGAUUGGUGUAGAAGCGGUUGGGGGCUGUUGAAUCGGUGAAAUAACUGAAAGUGGACUCUACAUCCGCACCGCUCACCCUGGGGGGGACCUGUGGCUUGCUUUGCUCUCCGGAGCAGGGCGCCAUUGAGGCUAGCUUUUUUAUUUUUAUUAAACAGUGACAUACAAGAGACAGAGGGAUUACAUAAAGAAUAAAUUACGAAGAGGACAAAUAAAAACACAAAUCCACAUAUCAAAUCAAAUACACACAUGGGGUUGCAGGUAGCCUAGUGAUUUUGAGCAUUAGGCCAGUAACCGAAAGGUUGCUCGAUCAAAUCCCUGAGCUGACCAGGUAAAAAUCUGUCGUUCUGCUCCUGAACAAGGCAGUUAACCCACUGUUCCUAGGCUGUUGUUGUAAAUAAGAAUUUGUCCUUAAUUGACUUGCCUAGUUAAAUAAUGUUUUUUUUAAAUGUAGCUAAUGCAUUUGAGACAUUUUCUGUUGCAUGUUUUAAUUAUAAUUUUUCAAAUCAGUUAAAAAUAUAAAAAUGGUCUUUCUUUAUACUUUUAUUUGUGUAUGAACAUGUUCAAUUGUAGAAUCAGUGUAGUACAAUAAUAUGUCAAAUUUAGAUAUUUCAAUGGUUGUUUGUAUCUUGUUGCCAAGAUAUAUCUUCACAUCAGUCCAGAACACAUCACUAUGUAAACAAUUACAAAAUAAGUGUUCAAUAGAUCCAUUUUAGUUCAGAUGCGAUGCAGAAGGAAAAAACAUGCUUGCUCUGAAGACAUCGACAUGUAUAUCGUCCGCUAAUACAGGACUAGUAAAGUCCCAGUGAACUACUUUUGUGAAGAAAAUGUACUAAGUGUAUUUGUAUUUCAGUGUUUACCAGCAUUUGUAAUUUGAGCCUGAUAAUUAUCUGUACAAAACAGUUAAUCUGAAUAAUAAAACAUAUCUAGGUGUAAA